GUGUCAGCCGCCGCGGUAAUACGUAGGGUGCGAGCGUUAAUCGGAAUUACUGGGCGUAAAGCGCGUGCAGGCGGUUUGGAAAGUUGGAUGUGAAAGCUCCCGGCUUAACUGGGAGAGGUCGUUCAAAACUUCCAGACUAGAGGAUGGUGGAGGGAGGUGGAAUUCCGGGUGUAGUGGGGAAAUGCGCAGAUAUCCGGAGGAACACCAGUGGCGAAAGCGGCCUCCUGGACCAUUUCUGACGCUCAGACGCGAAAGCUAGGGGAGCAAACGGGAUUAGAGACCCCGGUAGUCCUAGCUGUAAACCAUGUAGACUUGGCGUCGGUGGGUUUAAAUCCAUCGGUGUCGAAGCUAACGCGAUAAGUCUACCGCCUGGGGACUACGGCCGCAAGGUUAAAACUCAAAUGAAUUGACGG
rnacentral:rRNA from 1 species